AUACGGAGGGUGCGAGCGUUAAUCGGAAUUACUGGGCGUAAAGGGUGCGUAGGCGGUUUGAUAAGUCGGAUGUGAAAGCCCCGGGCUUAACCUGGGAAUUGCAUUCGAUACUGUCAGGCUAGAGUAUGUCAGAGGUUGGCGGAAUUCCUGGUGUAGCGGUGAAAUGCGUAGAUAUCAGGAGGAACACCGGUGGCGAAGGCGGCUAACUGGGACAAUACUGACGCUGAGGCACGAAAGCGUGGGGAGCAAACAGGAUUAGAUACCCUUGUAGUCC
rnacentral:rRNA from 1 species